GUGUUUUAGCAAUGUAUACACUAAAAUUGGAAUGAUACAGAGAUUAGCAUGGCUCCCUGCACAAGGAUGACAAAAAAAUUUGUAAAGCCUUUCAUAUUUAA
ensembl:snRNA U6 U6 spliceosomal RNA